GCCGGGUACAAUGGUGCAUGCCUGUAAUCCCAGCAACUAGGGAGGCUGAGACAGGAGGGUUGCAAGUUUGAGGCCAACCUCAGCAACUUAGCAAGGCCCUAAGCAACUUAGUGACACUCUGUCUCAA
rnacentral:sRNA from 1 species